rnacentral:rRNA from 1 species
UGGGGAAUUUUGGACAAUGGGCGAAAGCCUGAUCCAGCAAUGCCGCGUGUGUGAAGAAGGCCUUCGGGUUGUAAAGCACUUUUGUCCGGAAAGAAAUCCUUGGCUCUAAUACAGUCGGGGGAUGACGGUACCGGAAGAAUAAGCACCGGCUAACUACGUGCCAGCAGCCGCGGUAAUACGUAGGGUGCAAGCGUUAAUCGGAAUUACUGGGCGUAAAGCGUGCGCAGGCGGUUUGCUAAGACCGAUGUGAAAUCCCCGGGCUCAACCUGGGAACUGCAUUGGUGACUGGCAGGCUAGAGUAUGGCAGAGGGGGGUAGAAUUCCACGUGUAGCAGUGAAAUGCGUAGAGAUGUGGAGGAAUACCGAUGGCGAAGGCAGCCCCCUGGGCCAAUACUGACGCUCAUGCACGAAAGCGUGGGGAGCAAACAGGAUUAGAUACCCUGGUAGUCCACGCCCUAAACGAUGUCAACUAGUUGUGGGGAUUCAUUCCUUAGUAACGUAGCUAACGCGUGAAGUUGACCGCCUGGGGAGUAC